rnacentral:misc_RNA from 1 species
AUUGCUUCCAGACAAUUUCCUUGUGUAAGUUGCCACUUCACUCACCUGCAACUCAAAUGGCAAAAAACUACUGGAAGCCUUCUUGAACGGCGAUUAUCUAACGAAGGAACAGGAACAGAUGGCUUUGAACACCGCCAGGUCAGUUCCAAUGGAAGAAGUGUGCAACACCAUUGGAAAAAGCAACUUUUCCAAAUGUGCGUGUGCUGUGUGCUCAGCUUAUCAUCCCACAAAUUUGAAAUGCGACCUACGAAGGCCACAAACCCAGCUAAAACAGCUAAAGGGGGGUGUUCCUGCUGACGCCCUGAAGCAGGUGGAUUCAUUAAAAAUUAUACUUCAAAGUGUUCAUUUGAACAAUGCAGGAAGCAAAAAGGUGUCCUUUGGCAAAGGCCGCGCUGACUCCCGCUUAAAUGAGACGUAUUUUCUAGAAUAUUCUGUCCCGGAAGUGUUUAGCAAAGGCGUUGUAAGGAGCAAGUCGAAAACCGACAGCGGUUUGGAGAGUUCUGUUGUGAGAGUCUGUGCCAGGAGAACUAGCAAUGUCAUUCAUGUGCGCCAAGCGUUUAUACAUUCAAUAUGCAACCUGUACAAUUGUAAUUUGAAAGAUCACGACAUUAGCUUUGUUGUAAGGUUCAAGAGCUCCUCAAAGAAAAAGGCUGAGCAAUUGGUAGUGGCAAAAUUCAAUUUCGGUGCUUUUACCCAUUCACCGACCGCCUCCUGUGAGAAAACACUUCCAAUAUUCUUCAGUGAAGACUCCACAAUUAGCGUGGGAACCCUUAAAGUGACUCUACAGUUGGGAGCUGGAAAAUUGUACUUUGGUCAAGAGUUUCUUGAUGCUGUUUUGAAUAAAGACAGCCCACUGGAGUCAAGUAGUUCGGAAGAAAUUGCGGCUAUUGCACCAAACACUUGGGAGGAAAGAUUGGUUUGCAAGGAAAAACCCUCAAGUGUAAACAAAUCAGUCGAAAAGCCCCACUCGGCAGCACUUCCCCAAAUUUCACCCAUAUUUCAAUGCAGCAAAACCACCGAGAAACUCCAAUCAUGCCCCUUAGUAGAUAAAGCGGUGCAGCUUGAGGCUGAGCCAACUGAGGUCGAGUUGUUGUUUGGCUUUCUCUACAUAUCAGAAGCCAACUUCUUGAACAUCAGCCCAAAUUCCUUUAUGCUCUGUAAACCCUAUUGCCAAAACGAGACAUCAUCGAGCCGGAUUGUAUAUGCGAGUGCAAGUCCUUUAUACAACUUCUGUCAGACUAUCCCUUUGCUGUAUGAAGAAAGCUUGCUGCUAAACCUGAGAGAAAAUUUCAUGCUAAUUGAGUUUUGGGAAAAGACCGCUGGAACUGAAGAGCUGCUCGGUUUAACGCGAUUGCCGCUACAUUAGUUUUAUUUAGGCUUCCGAAAUUCAAUAAUUUUGAAGCAUUUGAAAAGGAAUAAGUUGCCAGUCAUUGGAACUGAUUGGUGGGAGCCGAUCUACUCAGCCAGCCAGAACGAACUGAUCGGACAAGUCCAAGUGUUGACUGCUUUAGGGACGGAGGCUCAAAUUAAAAAUUUGGA